UACAGAGGGGGCAAGCGUUGUUCGGAAUUACUGGGCGUAAAGGGCGCGUAGGCGGCCUUCUAAGUCGAACGUGAAAUCCCCGGGCUCAACCCGGGAACUGCGUCCGAGACUGAAAGGCUUGAAUCCGGGAGAGGGAUGUGGAAUUCCAGGUGUAGCGGUGAAAUGCGUAGAUAUCAGGAGGAAUACCGGUGGCGAAAGCGACUCUCUGGACGGCAACUGACGCUGAGGCACGAAAGCGUGGGGAGCAAACAGG
rnacentral:rRNA from 1 species